GCUAAAGAUUGUCCGUGGCUUAGGGAAACCGAUAAGUAUCCCACCUGGGGAGUACGCCGGCAACGGUGAAACUCAAAGGAAUUGACGGGGGCCCGCACAAGUGGUGGAGCAUGUGGUUUAAUUCGAUGAUACGCGAGGAACCUUACCUAGGCUAGAAUGCGCGUGACCGGCUCAGAGAUGAGCUUUUCCUUCGGGACACAAAGCAAGGUGCUGCAUGGCCGUCGUCAGCUCGUGCCGUGAGGUGUUGGGUUAAGUCCCGCAACGAGCGCAACCCCUAUGGUUAGUUGCCAGCACGUAAUGGUGGGGACUCUAGCCAGACUGCCUGCGCAAGCAGUGAGGAAGGCGGGGACGACGUCAGGUCAUCAUGGCCCUUACGCCUAGGGCGACACACGUGCUACAAUGGACGGUACAGCGGGUAGCUACUGGGCGACCAGAUGCCAAUCUCGAAAAGCCGUUCUCAGUUCGGAUCGGAGUCUGCAACUCGACUCCGUGAAGCUGGAAUCACUAGUAAUCGCGCAUCAGCCAUGGCGCGGUGAAUACGUUCCCGGGCCUUGUACACACCGCCCGUCAAGCCAUGAAAGUCUGGUAGACCUGAAGCUGGUGCUCGUCACAGAAGCCAGUUAGGGUAGAACAGG
rnacentral:rRNA from 1 species